rnacentral:piRNA from 1 species
UGGACACACAAUGUGUAGAAGGUUUGAAGC